AUGAAAAGAUGUAAUAUACACUAAAAUUGGAAUGAUACAGAGAAGAUUAGCAUGGUCUCUGCACAAGGAUGACAAUAAAUUUAUGAAGCAUUGCAGAUUUUA